rnacentral:rRNA from 1 species
AACGAACGCUGGCGGCAGGCCUAACACAUGCAAGUCGAGCGAACCUUCGGGUUAGCGGCGGACGGGUUAGUAACGCGUGGGAAUAUGCCCAAAGGUACGGAAUAGCCUCGGGAAACUGAGAGUAAUACCGUAUGUGCCCUUCGGGGGAAAGAUUAUCGCCUUUGGAUUAGCCCGCGUUGGAUUAGGUAGUUGGUGGGGUAAUGGCCUACCAAGCCGACGAUCCAUAGCUGGUUUGAGAGGAUGAUCAGCAACACUGGGACUGAGACACGGCCCAGACUCCUACGGGAGGCAGCAGUGGGGAAUCUUAGACAAUGGGGGAAACCCUGAUCUAGCCAUGCCGCGUGGACGAUGAAGGCCUUAGGGUUGUAAAGUCCUUUCAGCUGGGAAGAUAAUGACGGUACCAGCAGAAGAAGCCCCGGCUAACUCCGUG